AAAGGACUUAGUUUUGUACAAAGCAGAAAGCAGGUCCGUUGGCAGCAACUUGUCUUUCGCAUCAGGGUCUGCGUGCGGUGCUGUUAGCACGCGCAACACUAUUUGAAGUCCGUCUGCUGCUGGCCGCUGGCAAGGUAUUAGGAUCCCUUGUAUAUAUAAAUGAUGAAAUGUUUGAUCCAAAAUAGAGGUAAUUAUAGUUGUGUCACGUUUUAGUAAUACUAAUAAGCACGAUGUAAUUUUAUUAAUGUGCGUAUAUUUGGGGUGUGAUCAAAACAAUUAUUCAAAAAACUUAGAGAUAACUGAUCAGAAUUAGUGAAACUAUAAGAAUUUUAAUAAAGACUAAAUCAAAUUGGAAGUGCAAAGAUUUUUUAGUAAUCUUCAAUUAGUCAAUAUAUAAAAGUUAAAUCGAACCCCAUAUUCUUAGUUUGGCAAUACCAACUGGAAGAUAGCAAACUCUUCCAAAAUUCUCCAACGUCAAACUAUUACCGAAUUGACUCGGCGAACAAUGGCUAGUCUUUGGCAAAUGGCCUCACAUCACUUCAUUAAGCUUGGCUGGCGCACCUUUGGUACUUUAUAAUAGCACGACUCUUUGAAUACUUCUUCC
rnacentral:lncRNA from 1 species